rnacentral:rRNA from 1 species
AGUGAACGCUGGCGGUAGGCCUAACACAUGCAAGUCGAACGGCAGCACAGGAGAGCUUGCUCUCUGGGUGGCGAGUGGCGGACGGGUGAGGAAUACAUCGGAAUCUACUCUGUCGUGGGGGAUAACGUAGGGAAACUUACGCUAAUACCGCAUACGACCUACGGGUGAAAGCAGGGGAUCUUCGGACCUUGCGCGAUUGAAUGAGCCGAUGUCGGAUUAGCUAGUUGGCGGGGUAAAGGCCCACCAAGGCGACGAUCCGUAGCUGGUCUGAUAGGAUGAUCAGCCACACUGGACCAGAGACACGGUCCAGACUCCUACGGGAGGCAGCAGUGGGGAAUAUUGGACAAUGGGCGCAAGCCUGAUCCAGCCAUACCGCGUGGGUGAAGAAGGCCUUCGGGUUGUAAAGCCCUUUUGUUGGGAAAGAAAUCCAGCUGGCUAAUACCCGGUUGGGAUGACGGUACCCAAAGAAUAAGCACCGGCUAACUUCGUGCCAGCCGCCGCCGUAA